rnacentral:rRNA from 1 species
UUGAACGCUGGCGGCAUGCCUUACACAUGCAAGUCGAACGGUAACAGGUUAAGCUGACGAGUGGCGAACGGGUGAGUAAUGUAUCGGAACGUGCCCAGUCGUGGGGGAUAACUGCUCGAAAGAGCAGCUAAUACCGCAUACGACCUGAGGGUGAAAGCGGGGGAUCGCAAGACCUCGCGCGAUUGGAGCGGCCGAUAUCAGAUUAGGUAGUUGGUGAGGUAAAGGCUCACCAAGCCGACGAUCUGUAGCUGGUCUGAGAGGACGACCAGCCACACUGGGACUGAGACACGGCCCAGACUCCUACGGGAGGCAGCAGUGGGGAAUUUUGGACAAUGGGCGCAAGCCUGAUCCAGCCAUGCCGCGUGCGGGAAGAAGGCCUUCGGGUUGUAAACCGCUUUUGUCAGGGAAGAAAAGGUUCUGGCUAAUACCUGGGACUCAUGACGGUACCUGAAGAAUAAGCACCGGCUAACUACGUGCCAGCAGCCGCGGUAAUACGUAGGGUGCAAGCGUUAAUCGGAAUUACUGGGCGUAAAGCGUGCGCAGGCGGUUAUGCAAGACAGAGGUGAAAUCCCCGGGCUCAACCUGGGAACUGCCUUUGUGACUGCAUGGCUAGAGUACGGUAGAGGGGGAUGGAAUUCCGCGUGUAGCAGUGAAAUGCGUAGAUAUGCGGAGGAACACCGAUGGCGAAGGCAAUCCCCUGGACCUGUACUGACGCUCAUGCACGAAAGCGUGGGGAGCAAACAGGAUUAGAUACCCUGGUAGUCCACGCCCUAAACGAUGUCAACUGGUUGUUGGGGAGGGUUUCUUCUCAGUAACGUAGCUAACGCGUGAAGUUGACCGCCUGGGGAGUACGGCCGCAAGGUUGAAACUCAAAGGAAUUGACGGGACCCGCACAAGCGGUGGAUGAUGUGGUUUAAUUCGAUGCAACGCGAAAAACCUUACCUACCCUUGACAUGUCUGGAAUCCUGAAGAGAUUCGGAGUGCUCGAAAGAGAGCCAGACACAGUGCUGCAUGGCGUCGUCAGCUCGUGUCGUGAGAUGUGGGUUAAGUCCCGCACGAGCGCACCCUUGUCAUAGUGCUACGAAGGCACUCUAUGAACUGCGUGACAACCCGAGGAAGGGUGGGAUGAACUCAGGUCAUCAUGGGCCCCUAUAUCUG